rnacentral:rRNA from 1 species
CUAACCAGGAUUCCCUUAGUAACGGCGAGUGAAGCGGGAAGAGCCCAGCGCUGAAUCCCCCGUCCUUGCGGACGUGCUGGGAACUGUGGCGUGUAAAGGACUGCGGCGCGGCGAAUACUCUCGGUUGUCCAAGUUUUUAACACGAGGUCUUUCCCACAGCGGGUGAUAGGCCUUUAGUGGCGACCGGGGUUUCGUCUCACGCUUUCCUCGGAGUCGGGUUGCUUGAGAAUGCAGCCCCAAGGAGGGUGGUAUGCUCCAUCUAAGGCUAAAUACUGGCACGAGUCCGAUAGCGAACAAGUACCGUGAGGGAAAGUUGCAAAGAACUUUGAAGAGAGAGUUCAAUAGAGCGUGAAACCGUAGUGCAGUAAAUCGGGUGGACCUGUGCAAAAGAAGGUCCCGCGCAGUCGGGGACCGGGACGACGUGCGUUGGUGGCAACGGCGCGUUUCUGGCAUGGUUAGCUCUACACGAGCGCCUGUUUACCAGAGCAAUUGGACCGUCAAACAGUCCAGCGAAGCCCGGAACUCGGCGUGGCGCGGGAACGUGUGAAUCUGCGUCGCGUUCGGUUCGAGGGAGGUGAAAAGGCCCGGUCUGCGGAGGUGUGGCUUGACAGUGUUUCCGUGCUGGGAUUCGUCUCGGUGUGGAUCUGCUUCAAUUGCCAACUAACAUACGCCCGGGAGAUGGCCCCGCCUCGGACCGAUGAAUAUGGACCCGUGCCUGCUUUUUGCGUCGGUUUGUCCCUUGGUUUUUCGGAGCCUCGGGGGGCGACGGCGGCGAGCUGGGGGCACACGAGAUGGGGGUCACGCGACAGUUGAUCAGUACUCUACCCGUCCCGUCUUGAAACACGGACCAAGGAGUCCGACGUGAGCGCGAGUCAUUGGGAACCGCGAAACCCACCGGCGCAAUGAAAGUGUUUUCUCGAAGGUGUGAUCGGUGCUCCCCCCCGUGGGGGCGCCGCGCAACACCGGCUGGUCCUUAUGUCUCGGUUUUUCUUUUAAGACUGUCACGGGGCCAAGCAAGAGCGGUCACGUCGGGACCCGAAAGAUGGUGAACUAUUCCUGAGCAGGAUGAAGCCGGGGGAAACUCUGGUGGAGGUCCGCAGCGAUUCUGACGUGCAAAUCGAUCGUCAAACUUGGGUAUAGGGGCGAAAGACUAAUCGAACCAUCUAGUAGCUGGUUCCCUCCGAAGUUUCCCGUAGGAUAGCUGGCGCUCGUGCGAGUCAGUUGUAUCCGGUAAAGCGAAGGAUUAGAGUUGGCUGGGGCGGAGGCGUCCUGGCACUAUUCUCAAACUUUAAAUGGGUACGGUGCCGCUUCUCGCUUUGAGAUUUUUUCUGGAGAGCGGAGUCGAAUGAGAGUGCUUAGUGGGCCAUUUUUGGUAAGCAGAACUGGCGCUGUGGUGCG